UACGGAGGGUGCGAGCGUUGUCCGGAAUCACUGGGCGUAAAGCGCACGUAGGCGGCCUAUUAAGUCAGGGGUGAAAUCCCGGGGCUCAACCCCGGAACUGCCUUUGAUACUGGUAGUCUCGAGUCCGGAAGAGGUGAGUGGAAUUCCGAGUGUAGAGGUGAAAUUCGUAGAUAUUCGGAGGAACACCAGUGGCGAAGGCGGCUCGCUGGGACGGUACUGACGCUGAGACGCGAAAGCGUGGGGAGCAAACAGG
rnacentral:rRNA from 1 species